rnacentral:rRNA from 1 species
AGAGUUUGAUCCUGGCUCAGAGCGAACGCUGGCGGCAGGCCUAAUACAUGCAAGUCGAACGGCUUCUUCGGAAGCAGUGGCGGACGGGUGAGUAACGCGUGGGAACGUGCCCUUUGGUACGGAACAACUGAGGGAAACUUCAGCUAAUACCGUAUGUGCCCUUCGGGGGAAAGAUUUAUCGCCAUUGGAGCGGCCCGCGUUAGAUUAGCUAGUUGGUGGGGUAAAGGCUUACCAAGGCAACGAUCUAUAGCUGGUCUGAGAGGAUGAUCAGCCACACUGGGACUGAGACACGGCCCAGACUCCUACGGGAGGCAGCAGUAGGGAAUCUUGCGCAAUGGGCGAAAGCCUGACGCAGCCAUGCCGCGUGAAUGAUGAAGGUCUUAGGAUUGUAAAAUUCUUUCACCGGGGACGAUAAUGACGGUACCCGGAGAAGAAGCUCCGGCUAACUUCGUGCCAGCAGCCGCGGUAAUACGAAGGGGGCUAGCGUUGCUCGGAAUUACUGGGCGUAAAGGGCGCGUAGGCGGAU